rnacentral:tRNA from 1 species
GGUGUAGCUUAGUGGUACAGCACUUGCCUAGCAUGUGUGAGGCCCUGGGUUCAAUUCCCAGACCCACUA